GAUGAAAGUUAACAUCACUGUCGUAGGCCAUCACAGAUCCCCUGACAAAGUCAAGAAGAACAUUUUUAACCUCUGGGUUAUUUUUUCAAAAAAUCCCAAUCCCAACCUAAUUAUGAGAAAAACAUCACACAAACCCAAAUUGAAUGAAAUUCUGUGAAGAACUUAAGUAGUACUUCCCAAAAUUGUCAUGAAAAACAUGGAAAGUCCACUGGCUACAUCUGAGAUUCAGUUAAUAGUAAUGUGUUCAUCUCAGGUUCAUAGAUGUGACACAUGCAUCCAUAGUAAUGAAAGAUAUUAAUGACAGGGGAAAUUGGGUAGGGGAUAAGUAGGAGCUCUCUCUAUAUAUAAAAUAUGUAUUUUUUAUUCUAAAAUGAAAGUUUAUUUACAAAAAUGGAGAUGUAAAGACCCCCUUCUGCUGAUCCCAAAUAACUCUUUUUGUCAUCAUUUAUGUCAGGGAAGAGCAAUUUAUAAGGUAUCUUCAUACAAAGCCCAGCUGCAUAUUCUUCACCCUUAAUACCAUACUGAACCACAGAGUAAAACCUGCAGAAGGAACUGAAACUAUACUCUGGUUGCAGAUUCAGAAAGGCCAGAAUUACCAGGAGAAUCCUUUCAUCCAUCCAUCUACUCAUUCAAUUAUAUUGACUAUCUACUUCAUACCAGGCACUGUGUGAAAUGCUGUAGAGAAAACAAACAAACAAAAAGUCCUUCCAUCUGAAGGUCACAGCCUAGUAAAGAAGAUUAACAAGUACCCAGAACAUACUUGGCAAUAGGAUAGUGUUCUGAUGCUGUAUUAUAGAGCAUAAAGAAGCAAAACUGAAAUGGGAAUAUCUUGUGUUAGUCAACUUUUUGUUUCUAU
rnacentral:lncRNA from 1 species